AUUGAACGCUGGCGGCAUGCCUUACACAUGCAAGUCGAACGGCAGCAUGGAGAGCUUGCUCUCUGAUGGCGAGUGGCGAACGGGUGAGUAAUGCAUCGGAACGUACCGUGUAAUGGGGGAUAACGUAGCGAAAGUUACGCUAAUACCGCAUACGACCUGAGGGUGAAAGCAGGGGAUCGCAAGACCUUGCGUUAUACGAGCGGCCGAUGGCAGAUUAGCUAGUUGGUGAGGUAGAGGCUCACCAAGGCGAGGAUCUGGAGCGGGUCUGAGAGGAAGAUCCGCCACACUGGGACUGAGACACGGCCCAGACUCCUACGGGAGGCAGCAGUGGGGAAUUUUGGACAAUGGGGGCAACCCUGAUCCAGCCAUGCCGCGUGAGUGAAGAAGGCCUUCGGGUUGUAAAGCUCUUUCGGCCGGGAAGAAAUCGCACAGGCUAAUACUCUGUGUGGAUGACGGUACCGGCAUAAGAAGCACCGGCUAACUACGUGCCAGCCGCCGCCGUAA
rnacentral:rRNA from 1 species